UAGUGAGUGGGAGUUCAGAGAUGGUGAACGGGGUUGCUCUCUUAGAUAGGGUAGUCAGCCAAUGACUCUCUGAAAGGGUGAUAUUUGAGCAAAAUCAUGAGUAAAGAGGGAUCUAGCGAUAUCUGAAGGAAGCACAUUUCAGACAGAAGGAACAGUUAAUUUGAAUGCCUUGAAGAGGGGACGUGACUGGUUAUUUGGGGAACAGCAACCAGCAGGGGAGGAUGUGGUGGCUCCAGAGCAGAAACAAGGGGGAACAAGGUUUCCAAAUGGAGCUGUCCAUUAAAUAGUUUAAUCUAUGGUUCUGGAGCUCAGAAGAUAGGACUGGGCUGAAGGAAAGAACUAGUUCCAGGAGGCAGUCAAAGAUGGCGGAGCGGUCAGACACUUCAUAACGUCCCUCUUACAACAAAGACCGGAGAAAACAAGUGAAUCGGAUAUGGAUGACAACUGUGAAACUCUGAGCAUCAAAGACAAGGCUGAAGAAUUACACCAAACGCCAAGUGGAAAGAGAGACAGCACAAAAACAGCAGACACGGAGAAUUACAGAUCACUGGCAUCCUAGCAGCUGAACGUUCUCAGCCAAAACCCCCAUCACCUGGUGCAGUCAAGCAGAAGUGACUCUGCACUCACACCCAGUGCCAGGGAGGAGUGCUGCCCACCCUGGGAAAGUUAAGUGCAUGCAUCUCACCUACCGUGCCCACUCCAGCCCCCCCAUGCUGGAGGCCUAUGGGCCUGCGGGCCCCCCAAAACUCCUCGCCCAUCCCCCCUGCCUACAAGUGAUCUCAGUCUGGCAGCAUCCAUCACUGCCCCAGCCCCUAAGCUGGGAGCCCACAGACUGGAGGUGCACCCGUUUGCUCAGCCACUUAUGCUGGGGGACCACGAAUUGUAGCAUCUCCUACUCCCUCCAGCCACCUGUGUUGGAGGACUGAGGGCUGGUAGUGCCUUCUAUUCCCUCCAGCCACCCAUGCUAGGGAUCCGAGGACCAGUGAUCCCUCUUACUCCCCAAAGCUACCUGUGUUGGGGGCCUGAGGACCAGCUGCACAACCUCUCCCCUGACUCGCACUAUCAGUCAGGGGCUUGUCCUUUAGCCGGGCAUCCCACUAGACAAGUGACCUCCCACAGCCUUGCCUCACACAUAGUCCCCCAGCCCUGCAACCAGAGGUUUGUGCCUGUUCCAAACACCCUUGGAUAGCCCUGCUCGCCCCGGACUGUCAACGAGAGUUUCCGCAUCACCCGCCCAGUGAAUGAGCACCCGGGCAUCCUUGCCCUGACCACUCGGCAGCUGGCAGAGUGCACACACAACACCCAACCCAGUGAUAAGAGAGAAUGCCCCCGUACAUACCUUAAUAAAGAAAUACUAUAUUGCUAAAAAAUGCUAACCAUCACCUGAGCCUUCAGCAAGUUGUAAUCUUUUUGCUGGUGGAGGAUCUUGCCUCAAUGUUGAUGGCUGCUGACUGAUCAGGGUGGUGGUUGCUGCAGGUGAGGGUGGCUGUGGCAAUUUCUUAAAAUAAGGCAACAAUACCACAUCAAUUGACUCCUCCUUUCAUGAAAGAUUCCUCUGUAGUUUGUGAGGCUGUUUGAAAGCAUUUUACCCACAGUAGAACUUCUUUUAGUGUUGAAGUCAACCCUUUCAAACCCUGCUGCUGCUUUAUCAACUAAGUUUAUGUAAUAUUCUAAAUCCUUUGUUGUCAUUUCAACAAUGUUCACAGUAGCUUCACCAGGAGUAGAGUCCAUCUCAAGAAACCACUUUCUUUACUCAUCCAUAAGAAGCAGCUCCUCAUCUGUUAAAGUUUUAUCAUGAGGUUGCAGCAAUGGCAGUCACAUCUUCGGGCUCCACUUCUAAUGCUAGUUCUCUUGCUAUUUCCAACACAUCUGCAGUUAUUUCCUUCACUGAAGUCUUGAACCCCUCAAAGCCAUUCAUGAGGGGUGGAAUUAACUUCUUGCAAACUCCUGUUAAUAUUGAUAUUUUGACCCCUCCCAUGGAUCAUGAAUGUUCUUAAUGGUAUAUAAAAUGGUGAAUCCUUUCCAGAAGGUUUUCAACUUACUUUGCCUAGAUCCAUCAGGGAAAUCACUGUCUAUGGCAGUUAUAGCCUUAAAAAAUAUACUUAUUAAAUAAAUAUACUUCUUAAAUACUUCUUGAAAGUUGAAAUUACUCCUUGACCCAUGGGCUACAGAAUGCAUGCUGUGUUAUCAGGCAUGAAAAUAACAUUAAUCUCCUUGUACAUCUCCAUCAGAGUUCUUGGGUGACUAGGUACAUUGUCAAUGAGGAGUAAUAUUUUGAAAGGAAUCAUUUUUUCUAUGCAGUAGGUCUCAACAGUGGGCUUAAAAUAUUCAGUAAACCCUGUUAUAAACUGAUGUGCUGUCAUCCACGCUUUGUUGUUCUAUUUAUAGAUCAAAGGCAGAGUAGACUUAGCAUAAUUCAUAAGUGCCUUAGGAUUUUUGGAAUGAUAAAUGAGUAUUGGCUUCAACUUAAAGUCAUCAGCUGCAUUACCCCCUAACAAGAGAGUCAUCCUGUCUUUUGAAGUUUUGAAGCCAGGCAUCAACUUCUCUCUAGCUGUGAAACUCCUAUAUGGCAUCUCCUUCCAAUACUAAGGCUGUCUCAUCUACAUUGAUAAUCUGUUAUUUAGUGUAACCACCUUCCAUCAAUUAACUUAGCUAGAUCUUAUGGACAACUUGCUACAGGUUCUACAUCCAUACUUGCUGCUUUACCUUGCACUUUUAUGUUAUGGAGAUGGCAUCUUUACUUAAGCCUCAUGAACCAGCUUCUGCUAGCUUCAAACUUUUCUUCUGCAGCUUCCUCACCUCUCUUAGCUUUCAAAGAAUUUAAGAGAGUUAUGGCCUUCCUCUGGAUUAGGCUUUGGAUUAAGGGAAUGUUGUUGCUGGUUUGAUCUUCUAUCCAGACCACUAAGGCCUUCUUCAUAUCAGCAAUAAGGCUGUUUCAUUUUCUUACCAUUCGUGUAUUCACUGGAGUAGCACUUGUAAUUUCCUUCAAGAACUUUUCCUUUGCAUUCACAACUUGGCUAACUGUUUGGCAUAAGAGGCCUACCUUUUGAUCUAUCUCAGCUUUUGACAUGACUUCCUCACUAAGCUUAAUCAUUUCUAGCUUUUGAUUUAAAGUGAGAGACAUGCGACUCUUCCUUUCACUUGAACACUUAGAGACCCUUGUAGGGUUAUUAACUAGUCUAAUUUCAAUAUUGUCAUGUCUCAAGGAAUAGGGAGGGUUGAGGAAAAGGAGAGAGACUGGAGAAUGGCUGGUCAGUGGAGCAGUCAGAACACACAUUUACCGAUUAAGUUCACUGUCUUAUAUGGAUACAGUUCGUGGCCUCCAAAAGCAAUUACAUCACAGAUCACCAUAACAAAUAUAAUAAUAAUGAAAAAGUUUGAAAUAUUGUGAGAAUUACCAGAGCAUUACACAGAGCCACAAAGUGAGCAUAUGUUGUUAGAAAAAUGGUGCCAAUAGACUUCCUUGAUGCAGGGUUGCCACAAACCUUCAAUUUGUAAAAAAUGCAAUAUCUGCAUAGCACAAUAAAGUGAAAUUCAAUAAAAUGAGGUAUGCCUAUAAACAGAAAUUAAGGGAAUUUGUAAAAAACAGACCAAAUUUACAAGAAAUAUUAAAGGGAGUACUUUAGAUAGAGAACCAAUAUCAUCAGACAAGAACCUGAGAUUAGGACACAGGGCAGCAUUAGCCAGAUGCCAACCUAUAUAAAUAAUUCGAAAAAAUAAAAUAAAGCUAAAAGACUGAGAACAGGAAACCAGAGACGUCAAUCUGUAAAUGAAAAUGUCAAAAGAAAAAGGGGAGUAAACCACGUAGGUACAGAACUUUCAUAUGGAGAGAAAACCAGGGUGAUAUCAAGAAAUAAAAGACUGAUUAAAAGUUGGGAAGAUAAAGGUAAAUUUCAAGGCACUACAAAGAAAGUUAACAAACCUAUUCAUCAAAAUAAAAAAUAAGAAAAACAUAAAGACUCAGUAAACACAAAAUCAAUAACAAUGAAAAGAAAAACACAAACAAAAAGAACUCAGCACAGAAAAUUAAGCAGAACAAAGAAACCAUCAAUAUCACCAAAAAAGUACAACAAAAUGACAGCAGUAAACUCAUAUCUAUCGAUAAUCAUAGUGAAUAUAAAUAGCUUAAAUGCUCCAGUAAAGAGAUUGA